rnacentral:lncRNA from 1 species
UUUUUUGCACUGUAAGGUUGCACUAUCAAUAAACAUAUAUUUUUUUUGUCUAUUUUAUACAUAAGGCGCACCGGAUUAUAAGGCGCAUUUUAUGGUGUUGCAAUGUUUUCCUUCUAAUUCAGCAAGUCUCGCCGCUGGGUUAGCUAAGCUAAGUAAACAAACUUUAAUUCUUAAAAAAAAAUAAUUCAGACAAGUCAAACAAGCGCUGGCUGUUAAUCUACACCGACUUAUCUCCUUAAAAAUAUUUAUUUGGGUGAGUAAAGCACUUUCCAUUCCAAGCUGGAGCAUUAGCAGUGCUAGCCGGGGUUAGCAGCAGACUACAGUCCAAUAAUACUCACCUCUGGGCGGCCAAAGAGCUAGCACAGUUAGCGGCUAAUGCUAAUACUGCUGGAGAACUAAACUGAAACUCCUGUAUAAUGCUUCAGUACAACGGAGUGGCUUUACUGUUCCCUACAACCUGACUGGUAAAAUUCAUACAUAAGGUGCACUGAUUACAGAAGUCUCUGAUUUAGGACGCAGGCAUGGAUUUCUCUGAGGAACAAGCUGCAAAAAAGGUCAACCACAGAAACUGAAGUAUAAGAGUCCUCAAACAGUGGUGCUCUUUUUUCCUCAUCCCUCAUCCUUGUUUCCUCACUAGCAAAACAAUCCAUGCAUUCAUUUGGCAGCCAUACACAUCCAUGCAAGGUGGAGAUAUGCAAAUAACAGCUUAGAGAUAAUUGGUUCAUCAGAAUAAAAGCAAGAUUUUGCGUCACACUGGAGGCCAUUCUGAAGCUCUUCUAAGACACUGCAUGAUUUCUCCAGCGCUUACCACGAGGAAGCGGCACAUGGCAUGCUCUUCACAUUUUAACAGUGCUUGCUUGGGUUUUCAGGGAACAAAAACAGAGGAAACUCAUUCUGAUCCAGUUUUCCAUGAUAGGAUGCCUUUAAGUGUUGGCGGCACACUGCAGAAUAUUUCUGCCACCAGUGCAUUACGCUUUAUCAUUGUGUGACAGAAGCCAGCACCCUGGGGUGAGCGCACAUAAGCAUCCCACAGGCCUCCGCCAUGCAGCACUCCUCUUUCCUCCUGCUCGCCCUCCGCCUCCUCUGGAGCCAACCUUUCCCGUCACACCCUUAAUCCAAACAGCACCUCUGCUUAUCUGGGGCCCCUGUGCUGCCUGGCGCUGGAAGACUCUGGAGGGUCCUCCAACCUCUUGGUCCAAGCCCACCUCUCCAGUGUACAGGCUUUCAGCCUGGACUUAUCUUCUCACCGCCGAGGCCUCAGACAGCCUGUGCCCAUCCACUCUGCUCUUCUUCAUUAAUGGCUGUAUUCACAAUCUCAGAAACAAAUGGUACAAAACUGUCACUGAGGUGGUGCCUCUCUUGUCACUGGGGUGGUACCCUUAUGUGAAUGUCAACAGGACCAGUACCAAAAGUGUGAACACACCUUAUAUUCAGUGUUUUUUUUUUAUUAUUAAAACAUUUUUUUCAUUGUAGAUUAGUACUAGAGUCAUCCAAAUUUAAAAAAAAAAAAUGGAAUUAUAUUUUACAUUCUUCAAAGUAGCACCU